GACGAACGCUGGCGGCGUGCUUAACACAUGCAAGUCGUACGGUAAGGCCCUUUCGGGGGUACACGAGUGGCGAACGGGUGAGUAACACGUGAGUAACCUGCCCACAACUUUGGGAUAACGCUAGGAAACUGGUGCUAAUACUGGAUAUGUGCUCCUGCUGCAUGGUGGGGGUUGGAAAGCUCCGGCGGUUGUGGAUGGACUCGCGGCCUAUCAGCUUGUUGGUGGGGUAGUGGCCUACCAAGGCGGCGACGGGUAGCCGGCCUGAGAGGGUGACCGGCCACAUUGGGACUGAGAGACGGCCCAGACGCCUACGGGAGGCAGCAGUGGGGAAGAUUGCACAAUGGGCGCAAGCCUGAUGCAGCAACGCCGCGUGCGGGAUGACGGCCUUCGGGUUGUAAACCGCUUUCAGCAGGGACGAAGCUUUUUGUGACGGUACCUGCAGAAGAAGCACCGGCUAACUACGUG
rnacentral:rRNA from 1 species